rnacentral:rRNA from 1 species
UGGGGAAUCUUGGACAAUGGGCGCAAGCCUGAUCCAGCCAUGCCGCGUGAGUGACGAAGGCCUUAGGGUUGUAAAGCUCUUUUGCUGGGGACGAUAAUGACGGUACCCGGAGAAUAAGUCCCGGCUAACUUCGUGCCAGCAGCCGCGGUAAUACGAAGGGGACUAGCGUUGUUCGGAAUUACUGGGCGUAAAGCGCACGUAGGCGGAUUUGUCAGUCAGGGGUGAAAUCCCGGGGCUCAACCUCGGAACUGCCUUUGAUACAGCAAGUCUUGAGUCCGAUAGAGGUGGGUGGAAUUCCUAGUGUAGAGGUGAAAUUCGUAGAUAUUAGGAAGAACACCGGUGGCGAAGGCGGCCCACUGGAUCGGUACUGACGCUGAGGUGCGAAAGCGUGGGGAGCAAACAGGAUUAGAUACCCCCGUAGUCCCUGAGCGGGCUGGCAAGGCGCAU